rnacentral:lncRNA from 1 species
UCGUGCUUUGUACAAGUGAUCUGGAGAUAGGUGAGAGUUGUUUCUGGUACCUACUGGUGGUAGGGAAUUCAAAUUUGAAUUUGAAUUAAAGAUUUUAGGGUUUAUGCUUUGGUAUAUGUGCGAUAUACGGAUUAAUUAGAGAGCGGAUGGGUUCUGUCGCGAAUCUGUGACCAAAUCGGACGAAUCAACAUUGUAGUUUUGAUGCCCCCGACGUGCUGAAUGCAAUGGUGCUGUCGGAUCGAAAAUCCGACGGACGGAUCUCCGGGAAUUACGAGAUUUUCGCUGAGGGGUCAAAGUGGCAAAACGGAUAAAUCGCGAAGAGACCCUAUAUUUU